rnacentral:rRNA from 1 species
CCCAGACUCCUACGGGAGGCAGCAGUGGGGAAUAUUGCACAAUGGGGGAAACCCUGAUGCAGCGACGCCGCGUGAGUGAAGAAGUAUUUCGGUAUGUAAAGCUCUCUCAGCAGGGAAGAAAAUGACGGUACCUGAUUAAGAAGCCCCGGCUAACUACGUGCCAGCAGCCGCGGUAAUACGUAGGGGGCAAGCGUUAUCCGGAUUUACUGGGUGUAAAGGGAGCGUAGACGGUGAUGCAAGUCAGAAGUGAAAGCCCGGGGCUCAACUCCGGGACUGCUUUUGAAACUGUGUGACUGGAGUGCAGGAGAGGUAAGCGGAAUUCCUGGUGUAGCGGUGAAAUGCGUAGAUAUCAGGAGGAACACCAGUGGCGAAGGCGGCUUACUGGACGGUGACUGACGCUGAGGCUCGAAAGCGUGGGGAGCAAACAGGAUUAGAUACCCGGGUA